rnacentral:lncRNA from 1 species
UGUUCAUUAUUAUCAGUGUCCCUGGUCCCCUUUUUUUCUGUCAGCCCUUCAUCACCUUUGUAACCAAUUGCCUACGUUAAAUUCCUUCUGUUGAAAGAACUGCCUGGAUACUGCUGGACUUUUGACUCUUGUCAAUGGAAGUGGAUGACAGCAGGGUUACCUGUCUGAAGGUGUCUCUCUGUGCUCAGCCCUCCCUCUGGGGAGGCUGAGUUGUCACUUCCCCAUCAGAGGAAGACAAUCUGUCUCUGACCAGUGUCCUGGCUAAGAUGGGGCCCCGGUGGAGGUGUGUGAGCAGAUGACUCAGAGACUCUUCUUCAUAUUAAAAUAUUCCAGUAAUUAUGUCAGGGCCGAUCCGGCUCACGCAUGGCACUUUACAAAAGAUACACAAAUCGUGGCCCAGUAGGCUCUGGGCCAGAACACACGCAAGGCACCGGCGUGCUCCACAGCACCGCGGGCGGAUCAGAGCAUCUCCAGCCUGUCAAAGACCCACUCCUCUGUAUCUCUCCACGGGAGACAAGCCAUUUGCCGGAGCCACAUAAUGGAGCAUUCAGCCUUUGAAUUGCCACUUCUCUGAAGACUCUACAGGGCUAUGAGGGUGACUGCCUCAGGCCGGGAGGAAGGGAGGAAGAAGCAGAGGAAACAGAGACCCAGGGACACGCAGGAGACGAUGCCUUAUGCCAACUGAGGCCGAGAGUGGAGUGACAUCUAUAAGCCACGGCACACUGGCCACCGCCGGAAGCUGCAAGAGGCAAGGCAGCUUCCUCCCCCCGGAGCCGUCAGAGAGCGCAAGGCCCUGCCCGCGCCUUGAUUUCAGACUCCAGCCUCCAGAACGUGAGACAACUUUCUGUUGUUUUUACCUCCACCCCCUCUCCAGUUUGUGUCACUUUGUUAAGGCAGCCCUAGGAAAUGAAUACUCCCUCCCACCCACUUCUCUUUGCCUCCACUCUGCUGGAGUGCCGGGCCUGGAUGGGGAACAGGCCUGGCAGGGUUGCCCCUGGGACUACCCAGGGUAGCCUGACUGAGCACCUAUGUAGGCAAAGAAAACAGAAGAAAACAAAACAAGACAUC